GCCGUGGCUCAGUGGUAGAGAAUCUGCUUAGCAUGUAGAAGGCACCAGGUUCAAUGCCCAGCAUCUCCA
rnacentral:tRNA from 1 species